UACGUAGGUGGCAAGCGUUGUCCGGAAUUAUUGGGCGUAAAGCGCGCGCAGGUGGUUUCUUAAGUCUGAUGUGAAAGCCCACGGCUCAACCGUGGAGGGUCAUUGGAAACUGGGGGAACUUAGUGCAGAAGAGGAAAGUGGAAUUCCAAGUGUAGCGGUGAAAUGCGUAGAGAUUUGGAGGAACACCAGUGGCGAAGGCGACUUUCUGGUCUGUAACUGACACUGAGGCGCGAAAGCGUGGGGAGCGAACAGG
rnacentral:rRNA from 1 species